rnacentral:rRNA from 1 species
AGUGAACGCUGGCGGUAGGCCUAACACAUGCCAGUCGAACGGCAGCACAGUAAGAGCUUGCUCUUACGGGUGGCGAGUGGCGGACGGGUGAGGAAUACAUCGGAAUCUACUUUUUCGUGGGGGAUAACGUAGGGAAACUUACGCUAAUACCGCAUACGACCUACGGGUGAAAGCAGGGGAUCUUCGGACCUUGCGCGAUUGAAUGAGCCGAUGUCGGAUUAGCUAGUUGGCGGGGUAAAGGCCCACCAAGGCGACGAUCCGUAGCUGGUCUGAGAGGAUGAUCAGCCACACUGGAACUGAGACACGGUCCAGACUCCUACGGGAGGCAGCAGUGGGGAAUAUUGGACAAUGGGCGCAAGCCUGAUCCAGCCAUACCGCGUGGGUGAAGAAGGCCUUCGGGUUGUAAAGCCCUUUUGUUGGGAAAGAAAAGCAGCAGGUUAAUACCCCGCUGUUCUGACGGUACCCAAAGAAUAAGUACCGGCUAACUUCGUG